CCCUUCUUUAAAGCACCCUGCUAAAAUUGUGGGGGCGAGGCCUUCGGGCUUGGCUCUUGCGGGCAUGUAAGCAUGGGUACACCAAGGAAGGACAGUAAAAGCAUUGUUGAAAUGAGGCUAGGACGGACCGCUUAAUGUCCAGUGUCCUUUGUCUCAACAUUCUGUGCUACAAUA